rnacentral:rRNA from 1 species
GACGAACCGUGCGAACGUUGUUCGGAUUCACUGGGCUUAAAGGGCGCGUAGGCGGGCGGUCAAGUCAGGGGUGAAAUCUUUCGGCCUAACCGGAAAAGGGCCUCUGAUACUGGCCGUCUCGAGGGAGGUAGGGGCAUGCGGAACUUCCGGUGGAGCGGUGAAAUGCGUAGAUAUCGGAAGGAACGCCGGUGGCGAAAGCGGCGUGCUGGACCUCUUCUGACGCUGAGGCGCGAAAGCCAGGGGAGCGGAACGGG